CACAUCACCACAACGCACCGAGUCCGGAAAACUAGUGACCCGGAAGGGAAAAGAAUUGCCGUACAAAAUGGCUCAGGGGCCGCAGCCUUCCCUUACUCCCUGGGGGACGACAUUUUCUAAUAGCUAAUCCCGCGCCCUUCGGCCUCCGAGGCCAGUCGUACCGUCCUUGGCACCAGGUCUAUGGCGACUCCAAGGGGGGCGGGGGGACCCCAGACGAGGGAAGUUCUUGCCGCCCGAGGAUAAAAUGGCGGCUCCACAGCGGAUCCGGGCUAGAAACACCCGAAUCAGAAGGUUACUGUCCGUGGCUUCAAGAAAACAUGCCUCUUUUCUUAGAAAAUCAUCUCCGACUUAGAAUUGAAAUGAGCUCCCAGGGUGGGCAUCGCGUCUAACCUAACAGGGCUUGAUGCAGUCCCGUUGGGCCCCAUGGAUCAUCAAUAAAAUGUCCAUAAAGAUCA